rnacentral:rRNA from 1 species
GACGAACGCUGGCGGCGUGCUUAACACAUGCAAGUCGAACGAAGUGGCGAACGGGUGAGUAACGCGUAAUCAACCUGCCCUUCAGAGGGGGACAACAGUUGGAAACGACUGCUAAUACCGCAUACUGAAGGAGGGGAUUGCGUCUGAUUAGCUAGUUGGCGGGGUAACGGCCCACCAAGGAGAUGAUCAGUAGCCGGUCUGGGCGGAGGACCGGCAACAGUGGGACUGUGACCAGGCCAAGAUUCGUAGGGGUGGCAGCAGUGGGGAAUCUUCCGAAAUGGACGUAAGUCUGACGGAGCAACGCGGCGGGAGUGAUGACGGCCUUCGGGUUGUAAAGCUCUGUUAAUCGGGACGCGGUACCGGAAUAGAAAGCCACGGCUAACUACGUGCCAGCCGCCGCGGUAAUUC